UACGUAGGGGGCAAGCGUUGUUCGGAAUUACUGGGCGUAAAGGGCGCGUAGGCGGUCAGCACAAGUCAGUUGUGAAAUCUCCGGGCUUAACUCGGAAAGGUCAACUGAUACUGUGCGACUAGAGUGCAGAAGGGGCAACUGGAAUUCUCGGUGUAGCGGUGAAAUGCGCAGAUAUCAGGAGGAACACCGGUGGCGAAGGCGGAUCUCUGGGCCUGUCCUGACGCUGAGGCGCGAAAGCUAGGGGAGCGAACAGG
rnacentral:rRNA from 1 species